UUCCGACACAUCUACUGAACUUCAAGCAUCAUCAGCUGAUGGUGCAGCCUCAAAAGAUGAGAAGAGCAAGGUUCCUGUGCCUGUACCAAAGGAGCUGUCGUUUCUACUGAAGGAGACCACAGAUCAAACACAAGGGCCUGAGUCAAAUCCAGGGCCCAGCACAAGUGUUGCUUGCACAUCUGUGCGCAAAGUUCUCACUUUUGAAGACAGCAAUGAAGAUGGAGUGGAAAAGGCAGGAUACCACUGGGUGGACAGGGAUUGCUGUGCACCGUUUAAGAUCCCGGACUGCAUCCCUGGUGAAAAUCUAGACUGGGAUGCCUGGAAAACCACUCCUGCUAUUAUUGCUGCAGCCACAUCUGGACCACUGGCAAACUCUUGUGCCUCUCGAACAAAUUAUAAUCCAAACAUUGUUGUUAAACUGGACUUGUUCCACUGCCUGAGGCGAUUUUCACGAGAAUGCACCUCUGAGCAUCACCCUCUGAAUCUUGUUAUUCCUAAAACACUUCACAUAAUGAAUACAGUCCAUGCUUUUUGUA